rnacentral:rRNA from 1 species
UACGUAGGGUGCAAGCGUUAAUCGGAAUUACUGGGCGUAAAGCGUGCGCAGGCGGCUUUGCAAGACAGAUGUGAAAUCCCCGGGCUUAACCUGGGAACUGCAUUUGUGACUGCAUGGCUAGAGUGCGGCAGAGGGGGAUGGAAUUCCGCGUGUAGCAGUGAAAUGCGUAGAUAUGCGGAGGAACACCGAUGGCGAAGGCAAUCCCCUGGGCCUGCACUGACGCUCCUGCACGAAAGCGUGGGGAGCAAACAGG